UCCUGCCCGCCGAAAAUCUAAGGUUUCCUGAGGAAGGUUCGUCCACUCAGGGUUAGUCGGGGCCUAAGCCAAGGACGAGAGUCGUAGGCGAUGGACAACUGGUUGAGAUUCCAGUACCACCGAAAGUCGUUUGAGUGAAGUGGGGACACAGAAGGAUAGACAGAGCACGCCGUUGGUAGAGCGUGUCCAAGCAGUGAGGCUUGUAUGUAGGCAAAUCCGCAUACUAAAAGGCUGGGCUGUUACGGGGAGGGAAAAGAAGUACCGGAAGCUGCUGAUUUCACACUGUCAAGAAAAGCCGCUAGCGAGACCGUAGGUGCCCGUACCGCAAACCGACACAGGUAGAUGAGGAGAGAAUCCUAAGGUGAGCGAGAGAACUAUUGUUAAGGAACUCGGCAAAAUUACCCCGUAACUUCGGGAGAAGGGGUGCCAUCGAAAGAUGGCCGCAGUGAAAAGGCCCAGGCGACUGUUUAGCAAAAACACAGGUCUCUGCUAAAGCGAAAGCUGAAGUAUAGGGGCUGACGCCUGCCCGGUGCUGGAAGGUUAAGGGGACUGCUUAGAGCAAUCGAAGGCAUGAACUUAAGCCCCAGUAAACGGCGGCCGUAACUAUAACGGUCCUAAGGUAGCGAAAUUCCUUGUCAGGUAAGUUCUGACCCGCACGAAAGGCGUAACGAUCUGGGCGCUGUCUCAACAAUAGACUCGGUGAAAUUGUAGUACCGGUAAAGAUGCCGGUUACCCGCAGCAGGACGGAAAGACCCCGUGGAGCUUUACUGCAGCUUGAUAUUGGAUUUCGGCAUUGCAUGUACAGGAUAGGUGGGAGACUGAGAGAAGAGUACGCCAGUAUUCUUGGAGUCACCGUUGGGAUACCACUCUUGUAAUGUUGAGGUUCUAACCUUGUACCGUGAUCCGGUAUGGGGACAGUGUCAGGUGGGCAGUUUGACUGGGGCGGUCGCCUCCUAAAGAGUAACGGAGGCGCCCAAAGGUUCCCUCAGUGCGGACGGAAAUCGCACGAAGAGUGUAAAGGCAGAAGGGAGCUUGACUGCGAGACAAACAGGUCGAGCAGGGACGAAAGUCGGGCUUAGUGAUCCGGUGGUACCGAGUGGAAGGGCCAUCGCUCAACGGAUAAAAGCUACCCCGGGGAUAACAGGCUGAUACCCCCCAAGAGUCCACAUCGACGGGGGGGUUUGGCACCUCGAUGUCGGCUCGUCGCAUCCCGGGGCUGAAGCAGGUCCCCAGGGGUGGG
rnacentral:rRNA from 1 species